GACGAACGCUGGCGGCGUGCUUAACACAUGCAAGUCGAACGGUAAGGCCCUUCGGGGUACACGAGUGGCGAACGGGCGAGUAACACGUGGGUGAUCUGCCCUGCACUUCGGGAUAAGCCUGGGAAGCCGGGUCUAAUACCGGAUAGGACCACUGCCUGCAUGGGUGGUGGUGGAAAGCUUUUGCGGUGUGGGAUGGGCCCGCGGCCUAUCAGCUUGUUGGUGGGGUGAUGGCCUACCAAGGCGACGACGGGUAGCCGGCCUGAGAGGGUGACCGGCAACACGGGGACUGAGAUACGGCCAAGACUCCUAGGGGAGGCAGCAGUGGGGAAUAUUGCACAAGGGGCGCAAGCCUGGUGCAGCGACGCCGCGUGAGGGAUGACGGCCUUCGGGUUGUAACCCUCUUUCAGCACCGACGAAGCGCAAGUGACGGUAGGUGCAGAAGAAGGACCGGCCAACUACGUGCCAGCAGCCGCGGUAA
rnacentral:rRNA from 1 species